rfam:Lactobacillus dextrinicus DSM 20335 NODE_13, whole genome shotgun sequence.
AUAAUGAUACUUCUGCGAAGCUCCGACGUCACAAGGGAGAGGUGAAAUGCCUAUGU